rnacentral:rRNA from 1 species
UACGGGGGGGGCAAGCGUUGUUCGGAAUUACUGGGCGUAAAGGGCUCGUAGGUGGCCAACUAAGUCGGACGUGAAAUCCCUCAGCUUAACUGGGGAACUGCGUCCGAUACUGGAUGGCUUGAGUUCGGGAGAGGAGCGUGGAAUUCCCAGUGUAGAGGUGAAAUUCGUAGAUAUUGGGGAAGAACACCGGUGGCGAAGGCGGCGCUCUGGACCGAGACUGAGCGCUGAGG